CAAAAGCGAGACAAUAUUUUAUUUAGAUAAUUGCAUAAAUAUACAUCAAGCUCUUAUUACUCUUGCACUUAUAUUACAUAACUCCCUUAUGUCGUUUAUUCUUCAAUUCAAGUUAACAACGACUCUCAACACACAAACACUUGACUUAAGCUGAAGCCCUGAUCCCUUGGCCCCUGGAAAAACUUGGUGCAAACAAAACCGUCUCCCUCUGGCUAAACUUGAGCUGCUGAGCUUCCUCUCGAGAUAGCUGAUACGCAUUCGCCACAACGUCAACCGGCAUGCUGCUGAUGGCGGACACACGCCCUGCAAGGUUUGCUAUCAUGGCAUUAUCAUUAGUCUUGAAAGACACCCACCUGCUUCCUUGUUCAUUGGCUCUCUUGAUCACCGCAAAGUUCUGCGGGAUCACCACCACCUGUCCCUCACGGAGCUCGUUGUCGAAAACUGAGUUUCCUUGGUUGUCGACGAUUUGUACCCUCAAGGCUCCCUCGGUUACGUAGAGAAGAUUGUGGGCGUUGAUUGUCCAGUGUGGGGAUUGGAUGGCAU
rnacentral:lncRNA from 1 species